rnacentral:rRNA from 1 species
AACUAACGCUGGCGGCGCGUCUUAAACAUGCAAGUCGAACGGUAGUCCUUGAGCUUGCUUAGGGAUGAGAGUGGCGAACGGGUGAGUAACACGUGGAUAAUCUGCCUCCGGGUUGGGGAUAACUGUCCGAAAGGAUAGCUAAUACCGAAUGAGAUGGCGGUUACAUAAGUAGCAGCCAUUAAAGGUGGGGACCGCAAGGCCUACUGCCUGGAGAUGAGUCCGCGGCUGAUUAGCUAGUUGGUGGGGUAACGGCCUACCAAGGCGACGAUCAGUAGCCGGCCUGAGAGGGUGAACGGCCACAUUGGGACUGAGAUACGGCCCAGACUCCUACGGGAGGCAGCAGUUAAGAAUCUUGCACAAUGGGCGCAAGCCUGAUGCAGCGACGCCGCGUGAAUGAUGAAGGCCUUCGGGUUGUAAAGUUCAGUAAGCAGGGAAGAAUAAGCAAGGGGUAAUAUUUCUUGUGAUGACGGUACCUGCCUAAAGCCCCGGCUAACUACGUG